AGACCCGAAACCCGGUGAUCUAGCCAUGGGCAGGUUGAAGGUUGGGUAACACUAACUGGAGGACCGAACCGACUAAUGUUGAAAAAUUAGCGGAUGACUUGUGGCUGGGGGUGAAAGGCCAAUCAAACCGGGAGAUAGCUGGUUCUCCCCGAAAGCUAUUUAGGUAGCGCCUCGUGAAUUCAUCUCCGGGGGUAGAGCACUGUUUCGGCAAGGGGGUCAUCCCGACUUACCAACCCGAUGCAAACUGCGAAUACCGGAGAAUGUUAUCACGGGAGACACACGGCGGGUGCUAACGUCCGUCGUGAAGAGGGAAACAACCCAGACCGCCAGCUAAGGUCCCAAAGUCAUGGUUAAGUGGGAAACGAUGUGGGAAGGCCCAGACAGCCAGGAUGUUGGCUUAGAAGCAGCCAUCAUUUAAAGAAAGCGUAAUAGCUCACUGGUCGAGUCGGCCUGCGCGGAAGAUGUAACGGGGCUAAACCAUGCACC
rnacentral:rRNA from 1 species